GGCACGUAAAGGUGGAGCGAACAGACCCAGAAACUCAGCAGACAAGAAAGCUCGCUGUACUGGACGUCGGGAAUUACUUUGGAGAGAUGGCGCUCUUGC
rnacentral:SRP_RNA from 13 species